rnacentral:rRNA from 1 species
GGGGGUGCUAUACAUGCAGUCGAGCGGUUCCUUCGGGAGCAGCGGCGGACGGGUGAGGAACACGUGAGUAACCGGGCAUCCAGUGGGGGAUAUCGGGCCGAAAGGCGCGGCAAUCCCGCAUACGUCCCGGCUGUGCAAGCAGCCGGGGGAAAGGCCUUCGGGUCGCUGGAUGGGGGGCUCGCGGCCCAUUAGCUAGUUGGGGGGGUAACGGCCUCCCAAGGCGACGAUGGGUAGCCGGCCUGAGAGGGUGAUCGGCCACACUGGGACUGAGACACGGCCCAGACUCCUACGGGAGGCAGCAGUAGGGAAUCUUCCACAAUGGGCGCAAGCCUGAUGGAGCAACGCCGCGUGAGUGAAGACGGCCUUCGGGUUGUAAAGCUCUGUCUGUCGGGACGAGGGCCCGGACGCAAGUCCGGGAGGGACGGUACCGGCGGAGGAAGCCCCUGCAAACUACGUGCCAGCAGCCGCGGUAAGACGUAGGGGGCAAGCGUUGUCCGGAAUUACUGGGCGUAAAGGGCGCGUAGGCGGUUUCACACGUAGCGGUUUUCAGCCGCCGGCUCACCCGGCGGAGGGCGGCUAAACGGUGAGACUUGAGGGCAGGAGAGGUGCACGGAAUUCCUGGUGGAGCGGUGAAAUGCGUAGAGAUCAGGAAGAACACCGGUGGCGAAGGCGGUGCACUGGCCUGGCCCUGACGCUGAGGCGCGACAGCGUGGGGAGCAAACGGGAUUAGAUACCCCGGUAGUCCACGCCGUAAACGAUGGAUACUAGGUGUCGCGGGGGUCCACCCGGCGGUGCCGGAGCUAACGCACUAAGUAUCCCGCCUGGG